rnacentral:rRNA from 1 species
GAAUCUUACGCAAGGCAGCAGUGGGGAAUCCUGCACAAUGGGGGAAACCAUGAAGCCGCACCGCUGGUAAAGCAAUGAAGCCCUUAGGGAAGUAAAUUCUUCAUCCCUGACGAUAAUGACGUACCUAAGAAUA